CGCUGGCAAUGAAAAUUCCAUUUAACUCAAUUUCACCAGUCCUAUACUAGAUAUAAGCCGGACUAGUACCAAAUGUGUCCCCAAGUAAUGCAAAGGUAACCAAUUGACACCUUUUCGUCCCCAAGUAAUGCAAAGAAGCGACAGUUGUGCAUAAAUAAAAACCACAACGAAAAAACCAAACGAACAUUUGAAUGAGAUCUCUACGAACAAGAACCACUUUGAAUAGUUUUUUUUAGAUUACCAAUAAAAAAACAAUGCACCGUUAUUCUUGAGGAAUGCAAGUGCGUUUUGUUUGGAAAAAGCAUUCUUAUUCUGAUCGUUGUGAAGUGAAGUAUCAUUUUUCUGUGCAAAUAAGUUAUAAAGUGUUGAAAAUAACAAAUAAAAAGGUCAAAUCAAAAUUUUAGCUGAUGCUUUAGCUGAGUUGAAGGUGAUGGUGCUACGAUCUCAAAGUGAUGAGAUACCAUUAUCGAAUAGGUUCCCCAUCACUUAUGAAAAAUAUUGAGAAUCAAUACAUAUAUGUAAAGAUUAUAGCAUCAAUUAUAAAAGGAGAGGAAACAUCGAAAUGUUUAAAAAUGUUAUCGGUUCAAAUAUAACUACGAGUAUAAUAUUGAGGGAAACCAUGGAAAAAAGUUUGAAGUCCCUAAGUAAUAUAUACAGCGUUAUUUUAGAUUCAAUACCAGUUACAGAAUAUUCGGACACCCCUGAAACACAACUGCGAAAAGCAAUACAAGUGCUUUUAUAAAUAUUAAAUUAAAUUUAUUUUUGUUCAAGUUUUAUAGAGUAAGGUAUAUUUGUAUUCAUUUGUUUGCAAUAAAAAAAUGAAUUAAAACUAAAAA